rnacentral:rRNA from 1 species
GAUGAACGCUGGCGGCGUGCCUAACACAUGCAAGUCGAGCGAGGGUUUGCUCAGUAUUGAGUAUUCUAAGACUAGAAUGUUCAAUUCUGAGCAAAAUCAAGCGGCGGACGGGUGAGUAACGCGUGGGUAACCUGCCCUAUACACAUGGAUAACAUACUGAAAAGUUUACUAAUACAUGAUAAUAUAUAUUUGUGGCAUCGCAGAUAUAUCAAAGUGUUAGCGGUAUAGGAUGGACCCGCGUCCGAUUAGCUAGUUGGUGAGAUAACUGCCCACCAAGGCGACGAUCAGUAGCCGACCUGAGAGGGUGAUCGGCCACAUUGGAACUGAGACACGGUCCAAACUCCUACGGGAGGCAGCAGUGGGGAAUAUUGCACAAUGGGCGAAAGCCUGAUGCAGCAACGCCGCGUGAACGAUGAAGGUCUUCGGAUCGUAAAGUUCUGUUGCAGGGGAAGAUAAUGACGGUACCCUGUGAGGAAGCCCCGGCUAACUACGUGCCAGCAGCCGCGGUAAUACGUAGGGGGCUAGCGCUAUCCGGAUUUACUGGGCGUAAAGGGUGCGUAGGUGGUCCUUCAAGUCGGUGGUUAAAGGCUACGGCUCAACCGUAGUAAGCCGCCGAAACUGGAGGACUUGAGUGCAGGAGAGGAAAGUGGAAUUCCCAGUGUAGCGGUGAAAUGCGUAGAUAUUGGGAGGAACACCAGUAGCGAAGGCGGCUUUCUGGACUGCAACUGACACUGAGGCACGAAAGCGUGGGUAGCAAACAGG